rnacentral:rRNA from 1 species
GUGGGGAAUAUUGGACAAUGGGCGCAAGCCUGAUCCAGCCAUGCCGCGUGAGUGAUGAAGGCCUUAGGGUUGUAAAGCUCUUUCAGUAGGGAAGAUAAUGACGGUACCUACAGAAGAAGCCCCGGCUAACUUCGUGCCAGCAGCCGCGGUAAUACGAAGGGGGCUAGCGUUGUUCGGAUUUACUGGGCGUAAAGCGCACGUAGGCGGUUUGUUAAGUCAGGGGUGAAAUCCCGGGGCUCAACUCCGGAACUGCCGUUGAUGCUGGCAAGCUAGAGGCCGGAAGAGGUAAGUGGAACUACUAGUGUAGAGGUGGAAUUCGUAGAUAUUAGGAAGAACACCAGUGGCGAAGGCGGCUUGCUGGUCCGGAACUGACGCUGCGGUGCGAAAGCGUGGGGAGCAAACAGGAGUAGAUACCCUAGUAGUAC